rnacentral:rRNA from 1 species
UACGUAGGGUGCGAGCGUUGUCCGGAAUUACUGGGCGUAAAGAGCUCGUAGGUGGUUUGUCGCGUUGUUCGUGAAAUCUCACGGCUUAACUGUGAGCGUGCGGGCGAUACGGGCAGACUGGAGUACUGCAGGGGAGACUGGAAUUCCUGGUGUAGCGGUGGAAUGCGCAGAUAUCAGGAGGAACACCGGUGGCGAAGGCGGGGUCUCUGGGCAGUAACUGACGCUGAGGAGCGAAAGCGUGGGGAGCGAACAGG